CUUGAUCGACCCGAGCCACAGCGGCCGCUCCUCGGCGUCCCGCUCGCGCCCGUAGGUCGACAGCAGAGCCUGUGCCUC
rnacentral:antisense_RNA from 1 species